UCCACCCUGGCAAUGGGCAAAAAAGCACCUUGUAAGUGAUGAUGUUCUUACAUCAGUCGGGAACAGAUGGCAGUCCUUUGAUUAUCCUAGCUUGAUGCAUGACUUGGUGGCCAAAGCUCUUUUAUGCCUAGGACAUAUAA